GGGUAACCUGCCUGUAAGACCGGGAUAACUCCGGGAAACCGGUGCUAAUACCGGAUAGAUUAUCUUUCCGCCUGGAGAGAUAAGGAAAGAUGGCUAUUGCCAUCACUUACAGAUGGGCCCGCGGCGCAUUAGCUAGUUGGUGAGGUAACGGCUCACCAAGGCGACGAUGCGUAGCCGACCUGAGAGGGUGAUCGGCCACACUGGGACUGAGACACGGCCCAGACUCCUACGGGAGGCAGCAGUAGGGAAUCUUCCGCAAUGGACGAAAGUCUGACGGAGCAACGCCGCGUGAGUGAAGAAGGUCUUCGGAUCGUAAAACUCUGUUGUUAGAGAAGAACAAGGAUGAGAGUAACUGUUCAUCCCUUGACGGUACCUGACCAGAAAGCCACGGCUAACUACGUGC
rnacentral:rRNA from 1 species